rnacentral:rRNA from 1 species
AUGGUGCUGUGGGAGAUCACCGCCAUCACCGCCUACUUCCUCGGCCUCCGCCGCACAUACUACCUCGCGCUCCGCGGCCAGCGCCGCCUCAUCGGGCCCAACCACCCCAGGCUCCGCGACUUCGUCUACAGGUACCAAAUCGCCGCCCCUCCUUCGUAUUCUUUUCUACAAGGGCGAGAGACCUGA